AAGAAGUAGCUCCGUCAACACAGCUCUAGGCGCACGCAAUCAGCUCAGGAAGAGUACAAUUCUAACUAGCGAAGAGAGGCGAUCAGCUCAAUUGAAAGAGAGGGCGGUGGGCAUACAAUUCUUCGAUUUCAUUUCUUGCCUUUUCAAUCUAGUUUCUUGGCAUAAGGACUAUUUAGACUCAUAUAGAAUGAAAGAGUCCGCAUCAAAAAAACCAUCCUAAGAAAAGAUUUUAGCAAUCCCUUCCAGGCCAGAGGUCUUCUUUUCGUCCUGCUAGCUCAAAUCUCGUACUAUAUAGUAAGUACUAUAUAUACCUGAUAUACCUGAUCGAUAAAAAGGGAUCUCUUUUUAGGCUAGUUAGGCUAGGGAGUGAAUUCCACUUUAGACAAGUCUAGCAAAGCAGCUCAUCUGGUAACACGGUCAUCCGUCCAACCUCUAUCAAUCGGUCUUUCCUCUUUCAAUCGCUUGAAUUGAUAUAAAAAAAACCAACCGGGAAUCUUGAAUCUCUAACGAUCGCAUCUGUCUGACUGAUGGGAGAGUCAAAAUGGCCGCUUUUCCUUAAGCUUCAUGCCUCUGAAAUAGAUCGAAUAAGGUCACAAGGUACUAGGCUUAAUUAACAUGCCAUAAAAUGCUUAAAGAGAGAGGAUAAGGACGGAAUUCCACUAUCGUUAUUAAAGUAGUAAGGAAAUAAGUAGAAUAUGCGCAAGAAAUACUAGAGGUCAUAAACCGGCAGAUAGGGGCAGAGGUCAGCAUUCCUGCAGUUAAGGAGGACGAAUAGUCGUCACUUUUCUGAUACUUUUUUCUGAGAGAUAGGCGAGGCGGGAGUCAGCCUGGAAGAAAUUUCGUUCAUUUUUCAUUUCUCUUGUAUAGUCUUUAUGACGCUCAUCUGGAAUCUUUCUUGUUGCAGUUGCAGUACGAUUGAAGUAUGAGUUUAGCAAUUUCAGUCUUUCAGUAGUGAAACACGAUUUCAGUAUUCAAUCUAUCCCCUUCGUUCUAGAGUUCAGGACUUAUUUUCUAUGGUCUCUUUUCCUUAAACUUAAGCCCUCUUUAAGCGGAAUUUUCUUGGUCUUUUUUCUCGAUAAGCUGUCGCAAUCAGACAAUUCGUUAAAAGAGAUAUCUAAUCGAUCUUUCUUUCAAUAUUUCCUAUCUUCCUGCUUGGGAAGGAAUCAGUAUCUCUUGCAAUCGCUCAUUUGUUCUGUUCUGUCGCAACUCUCGCAUCCCUACGCUACAGACUCCGGGCUUUCCUUGAGGACACUGAAUAGGUAAUACCAAGGUGAAACACUAGGAAAAAAGCUUCGCUUGGUUCUUUCGCUUUUCUUUCCUUUUGAGCUUACUCGAAAGCUUCAUCGGACUGUGUCCAUUCCUUAGUCUAGCUACAGACUUGCGUACCUCGAUCGAGCGAGACUCUCGAAAGCUUCCGAAGAGCAUUGAAUUGACCCCNN
rnacentral:lncRNA from 1 species